CAAAAAUGGCUUAUAAAAGCCCUAAAUCACCCCAAAGAGGGAUCUAACAAAUGAAUGAGCAAGGUUCAGACUUUAUACCUUCUGUAGACUGCAAAUGGUGAACCAAACUCGAAUCCUUCAGUCUCCUCUUGAUCCUUCUAUGCUCUUCCUUCUUCCUUGAGGUCAAAACUCACAAGAAUCACUCAAAAGCCUUGGAUUUUCUCAAAAACGGCUAGGGUUUGCUAUGAGAAGUGUUUGGGGGCAUAAAGGGGGAAUGGAGGCUGCAUAAAGUCGUUUAAAUAGGUUGCAAACCCUUGGAUUAGGGUUUUUGUCCAGACAGCGUCUACUCUCCGAGUCCGGGACCCUACUCGCCGAGUCCGCAACUUAAAAUUCGCGUCUUAUCCUGCUUCUACUCGGCGAGUCAGUCCUUCGACUCGCCGAGUCCAAGGCUAAAAAUGCAAAAAUAAAUGAAGAUUUAAUAACAGAAUACGUACCAAGAACCAAGUGCUACAAAUCUCCCCUACUUAUUUUAGACUUCUUCUUCGAAGUCUGCUGCUCGAUCCUGAAACAGCUCGGGGUAGUGUUCCAUCAUCUCAUCCACCGGCUCCCAAGUCCACUCCGACCCCUUCCAGUGCUGCCAUUGCACCUUCACGAGUUCUACUCUUUUGUUCCUCAGAUCCUUUAACUUCCGGUCAAGGAUGGCUAUAGGCCGCUCGAUGUAAUUCAGGCUGCCAUCAACCUGAAUGUCCUCCAAGGGUACCACUACUGAGUCGUCCACCAGGCACUUUCGCAGUUGAGAAACAUGGAAAGUGUUGUGUAUCUGACUGAGUUCAGCUAGCAAAUCCAGCCUAUAUGCCACCUUGCCCACCCGGGCUAUAACCCUUAACGGUCCAAUAUACCUUGGGCCUAACUUGCCCCGCUUCCUGAAUCGAAUGACGCCUUUCCAAGGCGACACUUUCAGGAGAACCAUAUCUCCGACCUGGAACUCCAGGUUGGAUCGACGCUUAUCGGCAUAACAUUUCUACCGACUCUGAGCAGUCUGAAGCCUACUCCGGACCUGUUGAAUCUUCCCUGUCGUCUUGAGCACUACUUUGGUGCUCCCCAUGACUCUCUGGCCAAUCUUGCCCCAGCAUAUCGGGGUCCUGCACCAACGGAAGGUAGGUAUCCCAGCUACCUCCCAUACAACAUCUCGAAAGGAGGACGUUCGAUGCUCGCAUGAUAGCUAUUAUUAUACGAGAACUCCGCCAACGGAAGGUAGGUAUCCCAGCUACCUCUGAAGUCUAAAACACAUGCCCGCGGCAUGUCCUCUAGAGUCUGGAUGGUCCACUCGCUCUGGCCAUUCGUCUGCGGGUGAAAGGCGGUGCUGAAAGGCAGAUGAGUACCCAAAUCUUCGUGGAAUUUCUUCCAAAACCUGGAUGUGAACCGCACAUCCCUAUCCGAAAUCACUGAAACUGGCACUCCGUUCCGGGCCACCACCUCUUUGAUAUAAAUAUCGGCCAAUUUCUCGGCCGAGAUGCUCUCCUGAAUUGGGAUAAAAUGGGCGCUCUUGGUCAAUCGAUCCACGAUGACCCAUAUCGAAUCCACUCCCCGCGCGGGAAGCUUGGUGAUAAAAUCCAUCGUAAUAUCUUCCCAUUUCAACAGCGGGAUAUCCAACGGUUGCAUCUUGCCGUGAAGUCUCUAANGGCCUUGACCUUCCUGCAGGUCAAGCACCGCUCCACGUACCAUGCCACAUUCCUCUUCAUGCAGGGCCACCAAUAGUCCAGACAAAGAUCCCUAUACAUCUUCGUCACCCCGGGAUGAAUGGAGAAUCAGGAUUUGUGCGCCUCCUCCAUCAAGAUCUGGCGCACGCCUCCGAGGUAUGGCACCCACACCCUGCAGUGUAAUGUCAAUAAUCCCCUGCUGUCAUAGUCGAAGGAGGAAACCUGACCCACUAUGCGCUCACUCUUCUGAUGUUCCUCCUUCAUGGCCUCCUGUUGGGCCUCCCGAAUCUGCUCCAAUAGCAGAGUCACCACAGUCAUCCGCCUGCAGAUAUCCCUGAUCGGCGCCACCUUGAGGAUAAGCGCAUCAGCCAUCACAUUGGCCUUACCCGGGUGAUAAAGGAUCUCACAAUCGUAAUCCUUUACCACAUCCAUCCACCGACGCUGCCUCAUGUUUAGAUUCAGCUGAUCCAUGAGGUACCUCAAACUCUUAUGGUCUGUGUAAAUGGUACAGCGAACCCCAUAGAGGUAAUGACACCAAAUCUUGAGGGCGAACACAACAGCCCCCAACUCCAAGUCAUGCGUAGGGUAAUUUGGCUCAUGAGGCUACAGCUGCCUCGACGCAUAGGAGAUGACAUGCCCUCUCUGCAUCAACACCGUGCCCAAACCUGAGAUGGACACAUCGCAGUACACAAAAAAAUCCUCCAUGCCCUCUGGCAGGGCUAAGAUUGGCGCUUCGCAUAAUCUCUGUCUCAGUGUCUCGAACGUUGCCUGCUGCUUAGGCCCCCAAUGAAAGACCACGACCUUCCUUGUUAGCCUGGUCAAUGGUACGGCUAUCUUGGAGAAAUCCUGGAUGAAUCUCCGAUAAUAGCCUGCUAAUCCCAGGAAACUCUGAAUCUCAGAUGGAGACUUCGGAACCUCCCAUCUCAUCACGGACUCCACCUUGGCCGGGUCUACCGAAAUCUCGUUCUGGUUGACAAGGUUCCCAAGAAACUGCACCUCACACAACCAAAACUCACAUUUGGAGAACUUGGCAUACAAGCUCUCCCUCCUCAAAGUCUCCAACACCUCCCGCAGGUGCUCCUUGUGCUCCUCCUACGUCUUACAAUAAACCAGGAUAUCAUCGAUAAACACUAUCACUGACCGGUCUAACUUCGGUCUACACACGCGAUUCAUGAGGUUUAUGAACGCGGCAGGAGCAUUGGUGAGCCCGAAGGGCAUCACCACAAACUCGUAGUGGCCAUAGCGCGUCCAAAACGCAGUCUUCUGCACAUCCUCCUCCCUGACCCUCAUCUGAUGAUAUCCUGAACGUAGAUCAAUCUUGGAGAACCAAGAUGCUCCCAGAAGCUGGUCAAAGAGGUCAUCGAUCCUCGGGAGUGGGUAACGGUUCUUCAUCGCUACCUUAUUCAGCUCCUUAUAGUCUAUACACAUACGAUGCAACCUGUCCUUCUUCUUCACAAACAGAAUCGGGGCUCCCCAAGGCGAACUACUUGGCCUGAUAAAUCCCUUGUCUAGCAGCUCCAGAAGCUGCGUAGACAACUCCUGCAUCUUGGGAGGAGCCAACCGAUAGGGUGCCUUGGCUAUCGGAGCCGCACCUGGGACUAGGUCGAUCCUAAACUCCACCUGGCGCUCCGGAGGUAUCCCAGGUAGCUCCUCGAGGAAUACGACCGCGAAGUCUCGUACUAUGGGCACCUCGCCCACCGUCGCUCUACCCGCCUCCCAGGUAUCCAUAACAUACGCGAAAUAACUUGCGCAACCCUGAUGGAGGUAACGCCUAGCUCUCGCUGUUGAACAUAGGGUUGGUCCUUGCUGUGGCUUCUCGCCCUGAACCACCAGCUCUCCCCCACUUGGGGUCCUGAUCCGCACCAACUACUGCGCGCAGUCGAUCAUUGCCCAUUUGGGGCUUAACCAAUCCAUACAGAUAAUAACCUUGUUCCCCCGCAAAGGUAUGGGAACCAGAUCCACUAGAUAACGCUCCUCAAAUAACCUCAGCACACAAUCUCAGAACACCAUCGAUGCUCGCACCGAACGGUCAUCCGCAAUCUCUACGUCUAGAGGGAAAUCCAACAUGCCUGAAGACUCAGAAAAUCUCUUGCCGAGCGCAAGAGAAACAAACGAUCGGGUAGCGCCCAAAUCAAACAAUACCUGAACUGGGAUACCGUUCACAUGGAACGAUCCUAAACAAAGCACAUACAUAACAUAUCAAAAUCACAGCAGCAUAUCAUAAUAGCAUAAAGAAGAAGUCAUACCCGUCACCACAUCGGGUGCAGCGCGUGCCUCCUCGGUAGUCAACUGGAAUGCCCGACUCCUCACCACUGGAGCCUCUGCCUUGACCUGCCGGCCAUCAAUGAUCUGCAGGGUCGCUGGAGCUGGCGCCUUCCCCGGCACUGAUGUUGCUGUCAACUGGGUGCAAUUCGCCUUCUUGUGGCCCCUCUGGUUGCAGUGGAAACACAAAAAAUCAGACGUCUAAAUAACCGAUGCAAGGGAAGUACAAUCCCUGCUGAAAUGCCCCGUCUUGCCGCACUUGUAGCAGUCCGACGAUCCCAGUCUACACACCCCCUCAUGUGGCCUGCCGCAUUUCCUGCAGCGGCCUAGUCCUGACUGGCCUUUCGGCCUACCAUCCGAUCCCUUGGGCUUCUUUCCCGAAGCCCCAAUCGACUGCCCCUCCUCUACUUUCCUCUUCCGGACAUGCUCCAGAUCAAUCUCCCACUCCCUCGCCCUGGAAAUCAUAAACUCCAGGGUAGGGCAAGCUGAAAAACUAACAUGCUCUCGAAUGUCAGCUCACAGCAUGUCAUGAUAGUGGGUCCUCCUCAUAUCCUCGUCUCCCGCAUACCAGGGCACCAACAAUGCCCUCUCCUGGAACUUAGCGGUGAUCUCCGCCACAGUCUCCGUCUUCUGCCUCAUAUCUAAAAACUCCAUGGCCAGCUGUUGAAGCUCGACAGCCGGCGCAAACUCUGCCCUGAACCUGGUCACAAAGUCCGACCAGGUCNNNNNNNNNNNNNNNNNNNNNNNNNNNNNNNNNNNNNNNNNNNNNNNNNNNNNNNNNNNNNNNNNNNNNNNNNNNNNNNNNNNNNNNNNNNNNNNNNNNNNNNNNNNNNNNNNNNNNNNNNNNNNNNNNNNNNNNAUGGGGUCCUUCGCCCCAUGGAAAUCCGGCGCACCACUGCCCCUAAAGUCCUUAAAGGACAGUGUGCGAGAUCCUGACUGGCCAGAUGCCAUGUCACUCCCGAACGCCCUGAGGCGGUCCUCCAUCAGCUCAACUAUCCCUUCCUUGAUCGACCCGAAAAUGAUGGGGGUCGACUCAAGGAUGCCUCUGGUGAUCUCUGAUGCGAUGAACUCGCGUAGCCUCUCAUAUGCUGGCUCGGAACCUGAUCCCGAGCCCGAUCUCUCUCCAGAACUGCCAACUGCUGGCCUCUGACGUAGUACCACCAUUCUGCAAUACAUACAGGCAACUACUAGUGAUACUAAUAUCUUUAAAGGGAUCACAUCUUUUACAAGUUCCCCGGUCUUGUCUUUUCCUUCCUCAACUCGGGUACGGAUCCUCUGCUUUCAGUAGUACGGGCCCAUACUACCUUCCACAUCUAUCCGUACCAUCCUCAAUGACUGCCUUGACUCCACCAGAUCCCUUUUACCACUACUGAUCUCUGCUACUCUUAUCCUAGGCUUACCCUAGGAAACCUCUGACUCCACCCAACCCAGUCCUCAGCUGCUGAAGGUCUCUUUGUAAUGCCAAUUAGCCAUUACCUGAAUACAACCACAUGCAACGAGGCUCGGAUAAUCCUUCGAUUAAGGGACUCAUCCCUACAACGAUUACGACUCAAGCAAGAGCUACGCAAUAGGGUCAAAUCCAGCACUCUGAGAUUAUUCAACCCUGAUCACAUGUGACUUUAACGUAUUCACCUAACAGCUAACUCCCAUCACUCAAAGCCCACGGAGCACAAAGUAAACGACAUUCGGACAAAAGGAAACAAUCUCAAGCAACUCUAUCCUCAUAACAGGAACUGUACUAGCAUACAAUGCUAAGCUCAUACUAUCAGGCAUAACCUAAACAGGCUAUCCUACUGCUGUCUACUCACAUCUAGCAUGCAACUCUCAUAAGCUGAAGCAUAUAAAGCAGGCACAUAAGGCAUCACUCCUAGAUCCUUAGUCCUAUUCUAGCAUGCUGUCCUACUGAAACUGAUAAACGUAACAUAAACUUGUAUGGGUACUUUGGGGAAUACUUACUUGAGCUCGGCCGGUCGCGCACAUCACACACUUUUUCUUUCUAAAACAAAAAUCUUCUAUUUUAUUCUUUAGAAAACUAUUUUCUUAUAAAAUCUUUUAAUCCCUCGGUUGGAGUCGAGUUCGGUUGUUAGGACCGAAGGGUAGUCAGACACCCCAGAUACGUCUGACAGUAUGUGAUGAUAUGUAUGUAUGCUGGCUUAUCAUGUUAUAUGCGAUAGAGGUAGUAGGAGGGGACCAGUCCCCAAGUUCGGUUGUUAGGACCGAAGGGUAGUUCAGGCACCCUAGAUAUGUCUGAUAAUAUGUUUAUGUUAUGUUAUAUGUGAUAUUAGUAGUAGGGGUGAAAUAGUCCCCGAGGUCCGGUUGUUAGUACUGAAGGGUAGUCAGCACCCCAGAAUGGCUCGACAUGGGUAGGUCAGCGCCCCAGAAUGGCUAGACACGGGAAGGACGGCACCCCAGAAUGGUCGCAUGGGUAGGUCGGCACCCCAGAAUGGCCGUAUGGGUAGGUCGGGCACCCCAGAAUUGCCUGGCAGUAUGUAUGUGAUAUGAUUGUAUGGUAUGUGGUAUGAUGGGGAAACUCACUAAGCUUCGUGCUAACAGUUUCAUUUUUGGUUUCAGGUACCUCUUCAGCGAAGGGGAAGGAGCUGGCGCGGUAGCGGCACAUCAUACACACACACAUUGGUUUUCCGCAUUAUGAGAUGAUCUGGGAUUGUACUCUGACAUUAUUAUUAUUUUCAUGUUUUGGAUUUUUAGACACGAGAUAUGUUUUAUGAAAUGAUAUGAUCGGAUGAUGUUUUACUACAAAUGUUUUACAAACCACUUAUUUUAAAUGAAAUUUUUGGGCGUGAAAAUUAGGUCGUUACAAGUUGGUAUCAGAGCCUUGGUCUGAGGGAUUCGGACACACCUUCGGGGACGUAGCAUAUCAGGUAGUAGCAAACCUAGAUGAUAUCACAAAGACAAUCAUCUAUCAUACGUCUCCUACUGUCGAGCCNNNNNNNNNNNNNNNNNNNNNNNNNNNNNNNNNNNNNNNNNNNNNNNNNNNNNNNNNNNNNNNNNNNUUCCUCCGACUGCUGCUGCUGCUCCGGAAAUCCUCCGACUAAAAUUCCCACAAAGCACUUAGUCAGAAACUGACAUCUACUCUUAGGAUAAAAUGACCAUUUUACCCCCUGACCAAGUCAAAGUCAAAGUCAACCUCUAGUUGACCUGACUCGCCGAGUCCCUAUCCUUCCAUUAGACCUCAUACCCGUCUCUACUCGUCGAGUUAGGCGAUGACUCGACGAGUUUUCCUUCUAAAUGAACACCGACUGAAUCCUCAUCCGACUCGCCGAGUUGUAUGAACAACUCGUCGAGUUCAUCAUCAGCUGAUAUUCAUGUCCUGCCCUUGACUCGCUGAGUUAUAUGAACAACUCGUCGAGUUACUCUUCAUCCGAUGAAUUCUGUCCUCNUCCUCGACUCACCGAGUUGAUGAACAACUCAUCGAGUUCUAUGAAGAUUACCUUGGACUCGCCGAGUCUGUUCAUGCACUCGCCGAGUACCAUGAAUUUCCAGAACAUUUUGCUUAGUUCAGAACGUUGGGUCACUCCCCGGGACUCCCUAAAACCUUUCCAAACUCAUCCUGGUCCUUUUGACCCUCACUAAUAUGGGAUAGAACCCUUGGACUCGCUGAGUCCAGGAAUGGACUCGCCGAGUCAGUCACAUGCCCUCCCUUAAAACUUCGAUUUCUGAUGUACAACACUUGACCAAAAGAUAGAUCCAGGCCCCUAAACUCGAUCUAGCACGUAAAGUUACAAACUUUACGUGCAUGGAUGGGACUUUUGAGCUUAAAAGGCUCUAAAAUGGUUCUUUUGUUGCAUGGGGCCUUCCUUGAGUGCAAAAGCAACCCAAAUCUGUCUUGUGACUCCAAUAAUGACAUGAUCCAGAAGCUCAAACCCCCAACCAAGUUUGCAAACAUGGUUGGCCACCAAAAAUGGCUUAUAAAAGCCCUAAAUCACCCCAAAGAGGGAUCUAACAAAUGAAUGAGCAAGGUUCAGACUUUAUACCUUCUGUAGACUGCAAAUGGUGAACCAAACUUGAAUCCUUCAGUCUCCUCUUGAUCCUUCUAUGCUCUUCCUUCUUCCUUGAGGUCAAAACUCACACGAAUCACUUAAAAGCCUUGGAUUUUCUCAAAAACGGCUAGGGUUUGCUAUGAGAAGUGUUUGGGGGCAUAAAGGGGGAAUGGAGGCUGCAUAAAGUCGUUUAUAAGGGUGCAAACCCCUGGAUUAGGGUUUUUGUCCAGACAGCGUCUACUCGCCGAGUCCGGGACCCGACUCGCCGAGUCUGCAACUUAAACUCUGC
rnacentral:lncRNA from 1 species